AAGUCGUAACAAGGUUUCCGUAGGUGAACCUGCGGAAGGAUCAUUAACACGUAUCCAACGUUAAACAACCCUGUGAACUUUAAGCCUACUCUUGCAGCCCAUGAGGAACAGCAAUCCCGGUAAAUCAUUGCCAAACAGUUUUGAUUCGGGACCUCUGUCCAAAAGGAGUUGCAAUUGAGUGGUAGAUGCAGUGGCAUGGCUUCCCCAAGCAGUUAGUGAAUGACAGUGUCACUGACUGUGUAAGGAUAACGCCUCAGAAAAAAACCGAACAACUGUUAACAAUGGAUAUCUUGGUUCUC
rnacentral:misc_RNA from 1 species